ensembl:snRNA U6 U6 spliceosomal RNA
GUGCUCCCUUCACCAGUACAUAUACUAAAAUUGGAAGGAUACAGAGAAGAUUAGCAUGCCCCCACACAAACUCAUGAACUGUCUAUAUUUUUU